AACGUAGGUUCCGAGCGUUAUCCGGAUUUACUGGGCGUAAAGCGCGUUCAGGCGGUUGGGCAAGUCGGGCAUGAAAUCUCUGGGCUCAACUUGGAGAGGUUGUCCGAUACUGCCGAACUGGAGGGCAGUAGAGGGUGGUGGAAUUCCGGGUGUAGUGGUGAAAUGCGUAGAGAUCCGGAGGAACACCAGUGGCGAAAGCGGCCACCUGGACUGCACCUGACACUGAGGCGCGAAAGCUAGGGGAGCAAACAGG
rnacentral:rRNA from 1 species